UACGGAGGGUGCAAGCGUUGUUCGGAAUCAUUGGGCGUAAAGCGCGUGUAGGCGGCUUGGCAAGUCGGUUGUGAAAGCCCGGGGCCCCAACCCCCGGAACUGCAUCUGAAACUGCCUGGCUAGAGUCCCGGAGAGGAAGGCAGAAUUCCCGGUGUAGGGGUGAAAUCCGUAGAUAUCGGGAGGAAUACCAGCGGCGAAGGCGGCCUUCUGGACGGUGACUGACGCUGAGACGCGAAAGCGUGGGGAGCAAACAGG
rnacentral:rRNA from 1 species